UACGUAGGGGGCAAGCGUUGUCCGGAAUCAUUGGGCGUAAAGCGCGCGUAGGUGGCCCGGUAAGUCCGCUGUAAAAGUCCAGGGCUCAACCCUGGAAAGCCGGUGGAUACUGUCGGGCUCGAGUCCGGAAGAGGCGAGUGGAAUUCCUGGUGUAGCGGUGGAAUGCGCAGAUAUCAGGAGGAACACCGAUGGCGAAGGCAGCUCGCUGGGACGGUACUGACACUGAGGCGCGAAAGCGUGGGGAGCAAACAGG
rnacentral:rRNA from 1 species